rnacentral:lncRNA from 1 species
AUCAGAUCCUUUCUGCAAACUGUUUGAAUUGAAAACAACGAAUAAUACCAGUGUCGUAGUUUUGGUGGCUUUAGUCCUUAUUGGAUCAUUUGAUGUGCAAAGUGGUAAGUAAAAAUUUGACUGACGUAAAAUAAUUGUUAAUGUAUUUCAUAUUCAUUAUAUUCUUUGAAGAUUUUGUAUUGCCUACAAAACUAACUAAUGAAGUUGAUUUUAUGUUUCGAUUUUUAAAAUUUUAGUCACAGCAAGAAAAACAAAUGUUUUAAACUUCUUUAGUCAUUUGAUCUUUCGUGGAGAAUUGUCUCAUUGGCAAUCACACCACAUCUUUUUUUUUUUAUAUGAUGAAACAGUUGUACCAUAUUCAGAAUAACGACCGAUAUGAAUUGAAAAUCUUAAAACAAAUAAUAUUAGCUUUUUUACUCUUACUCUUCGAAAACUGAGCGAUAUUAAUUACACAACAUGUAAUAGAAAAUCACCAAAAUAGUGCACCUGCGCACAUCAAAUAUGUGACCUUUCGUUACUAUCUUUUUGUUAAGUUAAUAGUCUUGUUUCAUCAAAGCAUUUGUACAGAUAAAAGGGAAAUUCAUUGUUAGAAGCGAGACAAUAUCAAUCUGAAAACGUAGUAACAACUAAAGUGUUUGGAAAAGGAUAUCUAAAUAUCAUCGCUCUCUUUCCUCAAUAAAAGGUUUUUUUGCAUGUCUAUAGCUUAGUGUUUGGUGUAAACAAAGGCUCCGUGUUGUAAACUGAACUGUGAUCUAUAAUAGUAUACUCUUUGAUAAAUGUAACUUGGAUGGAGAGUCGUCUCAUUUGCACUCAUACCACAUCUUCUUAUAUCUAUUUAUACUUGUACUAUUUAUCUUUCUUGAUUAAUGACGAAUCUUUAUUCUGGAUUUGCCUACAAUACACUUUGUUGCCAUUUAUUUUGACGAUAUCAAUUUAGUUUUGCAAAUAAAGUAUCAGAAAUUAUCAAACAAAUAAUUUACGGACUAAUUGAACAUUAAUUUAAUUGUCCCGCGUAUUCGUUAUCAAAUCUAAAUUAGAACUGAAUUGCAGUUUCAUUUUUGUUAUAAAUAUUUCAGUAUUAUGGUCCAAACAAUGAUUCUCCAAGACAUUAAGGAGGUGGUAACUAUAACAGAUAAAUCACAGAGGUUAUGUCGGGUAUAAAGUCUGGAACAAAGGCUGGAAUAGAGGUCGAUGGGGACGAAAGUAUUAUUGAAACAAAGCAUAUAACUACUUGUACCGACACCAGUAAACUCAAUAUUGAUUUGAACGAUAAAUAAUAAAGUUAAAUUGGU